rfam:Gossypium arboreum cultivar AKA8401 contig_50520_1, whole genome shotgun sequence.
AAUUCGUGGUGCGGGCAUUUUUGAAUCAACAUUUUGAAAUGUUCCUAUGCCUCACAGAAACUUUUUCCCUCCAUCUGUCUAAAGACAGCAAUCUUUUAUCUAAGCU